rnacentral:lncRNA from 1 species
GUGCAGUGGUGUGAUCUCGGCUCACUGUGACCUCUGCCUCCUGGGUUUAAGCGAUUCUCCUGCCUCAGCCUCCCGAGUAACUGGGACUACAGCUGCAGGAAACAGAAAAUGCACUGCCUAGAUGGACCCUCUGACUCCCCACCACCCAGGCUGGAGCGGCAGAGGCUGCCAGGAAGAGCCAGAAAACAGGUGAACCCAAGGCCACUCCCUCCCCAGCCUGAGGAACACUCUACUGGUAAGGGGAGAAAUGCCUCAAAUGAGCAUGUGCACAACUUCAGUAAACAUGCUGUGCAUGUGGCCCCUCCCAAGUGCCCGCAGGCCACCACACAAGUGGACAGCCCUGGACAGCCCGCCCCUAGGGAAGAAUCAAGGGAGGAGAAACAGAAGCCCUGGAACUGUGCUAGCAUAUAAAACCCCAAGUCAAGGGCUGAAUGGCACACUUGGAUCUCUCAAGUCACCUGCUUGGCCCCCUUCCAAGUGUAUUUACUUCCAUUUGUUCCUGCUCUAAAACUUUUUAAUAAACUUUCACUCCUGCUCUAAAAAAAAAAAAAAA